GGAACAUCGGGAACUCCAACCCAUGUGACGUUACCAAACUGUUGCCUCGGCGGGAUCUCUGCCCCGGGUGCGUCGCAGCCCCGGACCAAGGCGCCCGCCGGAGGACCAACCAAAACUCUUUUUGUAUACCCCCUCGCGGGUUUUUUAUAAUCUGAGCCUUCUCGGCGCCUCUCGUAGGCGUUUCGAAAAUGAAUCAAAACUUUCAACAACGGAUCUCUUGGUUCUGGCAUCGAUGAAGAACGCAGCGAAAUGCGAUAAGUAAUGUGAAUUGCAGAAUUCAGUGAAUCAUCGAAUCUUUGAACGCACAUUGCGCCCGCCAGUAUUCUGGCGGGCAUGCCUGUCCGAGCGUCAUUUCAACCCUCGAACCCCUCCGGGGGGUCGGCGUUGGGGAUCGGCCCUGCCUCUUGGCGGUGGCCGUCUCCGAAAUACAGUGGCGGUCUCGCCGCAGCCUCUCCUGCGCAGUAGUUUGCACACUCGCAUCGGGAGCGCGGCGCGUCCACAGCCGUUAAACACCCAACUUCUGAAAUGUUGACCUCGGAUCAGGUAGGAAUACCCGCUGAACUUAAGCAUAUCAAUAAGCGGAGGAAC
rnacentral:rRNA from 1 species